UGGACCAAGGCUGAGAGUGUGUUAUAAAGCACGGCUUAUUAUUGAUCCAGUUCUGAGCACUGAGGUCUAAA
rnacentral:snoRNA from 1 species